ACUCAAAAAAAUAAACUCACCCUGUUGUUGAUUUUAAUCAAGUAUUUUUAAUUAAAAUUACUUAACAGCUUUGUGUUAGCAAGUGAAACCUGAGUCAGUUGGACUGCUGUGAUGAAAGUCAGUUAAGUUGUCUGAUUUAAUUAAUAAGUGCAUGUUUGGUGAACGCAUCCCAGUGAAGUAAACUCAACAGGCUGGCUACUUUCUUCAUCCGGGACAUUCGUGGCUGUCUGUGGACUUCUCUUCAGCAGCAGCGCCAUUUUAUUUUGGAAAAGCAGAGAGUGCGGGUGUCUCUGUCAGUAAGAACAGUCCUGCAAUUGUAGGCUGGGUGGUGUACCUUUUUUGGCUCUUGUGUACCAUGAAUGUGGAAGUGUAAAGACUGUGAUGCAGAAGAAAGUAAAAGUAGUUAAUUAUUUAUUUUUAUCCAUAUGCAAAUUUAACCCUCACGUCCUUCCCUCAACAAAGACAGAAAUAUUUGU